rnacentral:lncRNA from 1 species
CUCUUUGAUUGAAUUCUGCAGAUUAACCCAUGGAAGAUGUAACAGCAUCUUUUUUUUAGGAGGGGGUUUCUAUCUUCAUAUUAACUUGUAACUUUGUUCUUGACUAUGUAUCCAUUGGCUCUCUCUCCUACCCGCCACGUGCACACACAUUAUAUAUAUACAAAUGUGUAUUUGUGUGUGUGUAUUGCCCAGAACUCUCUAUAUGUCUGUUAGAUCAAGUUGUUAAAUGUGAUGUUCAGAUCAUCUAUAUUCUUAGUGAUUUUCUAUCUGUUGGCCUAUCAGAAAUCAAGAGGAGUCUGCUGCUGUCACUACAAAGGCGUUUAUAAAUACUCUCUGCAAACGUGUCCAUUUCUUCAUAUAUACUUAAGCCUAUUUUAUUGUCUGUAAACAGGUUUAAAAUUGCUAUAUCUUUUUGGUAAAUUGAAAUUUUACCAUGAUGCUGUGACCAUGCAAGCAUAGUAAUUAUUUUUAUUCUAAACCUCUUUCACCUGAUAUUAAUUAGGUUGUAGCAGUUUCUUUAAGUUAUCAUUUGUCUGAUAUUAUAUGUUAUUUUCUAUGCUUUUCUUCGUUUCGGGUGGUCCUUAGGCUUUCAAUAUGCCUCAUGUGUCAGGUAAGUUUAAUUCAUUGAUAUUUAUUUAUGUAACAAUUAACCAGCCUUUUGAGUUGGGACACCUGAGUUGGCUAAUCUACAUUUAUUUUUCUCUUCUCCUUACACUCCGCUCUGGGACCCGGACGAGACGUUUGAGUCAACACAGGUGUGUCGUCAAGCCCCUUUGUCUUCAGGAUGAAGGAGAAGGGAGGCAUAACUCCAAUAAUUCUUUUGUCCUCCACCUCCCCAGCUUUGCUCUCCACCUCUCGCCUCAGGUGAUAAAUGCAGCCGAAGAACCAGGUCAAGUUGACAAACUCUGUGGACCCGGCCACCCUUGAAGGAGAAGUAAACCUCAUUUCAGCUUCAAGUCCCAGACACAUUCUCUAAUCAAGCUUUCCCAUCAGCCCAGCUGAAGUCUGAUUCCCAUUUGGUUCGGUUCUCUUGUGUAGACCUUGCGGUGAAGACUGCGGAGUGACAGGAAGAGGUAAGUGAUAGGAUUUAUGCACCAAAUUCUAUUUUUUACCUUCAACAAUUGGUUUGAGAUAUUUUCUUUCUACUUUUAUCUUUGGUUAAUAAUGACU